AUAUCUCAGUUGGUAAAGAAUCUGCCUGCAGUGCAGGAGACCCUGGUUCAAUUCCGGGU
rnacentral:tRNA from 1 species